rnacentral:rRNA from 1 species
AUUAAACGCUGGCGGCAUGCCUUACACAUGCAAGUCGAACGGCAGCACGGGGGCAACCCUGGUGGCGAGUGGCGGACGGGUGAGUAAAGCAUCGGAACGUAUCCUGGAGUGGGGGAUAACGUAGCGAAAGUUACGCUAAUACCGCAUAUUCUGUGAGCAGGAAAGCAGGGGAUCGCAAGACCUUGCGCUCUGGGAGCGGCCGAUGUCGGAUUAGCUAGUUGUGGGUAAAGCCUACCAAGGCGACGAUCCGUAGCGGGUCUGAGAGGAUGAUCCGCCACACUGGGACUGAGACACGGCCCAGACUCCUACGGGAGGCAGCAGUGGGGAAUUUUGGGACAAUGGGCGAAGCCUGAUCCAGCCAUGCCGCGUGAGUGAAGAAGGCCUUCGG